AGAUUGAACGCUGGCGGCAGGCCUAACACAUGCAAGUCGAGCGGCAGCACGGGUACUUGUACCUGGUGGCGAGCGGCGGACGGGUGAGUAAUGCCUAGGAAUCUGCCUGGUAGUGGGGGGAUAACGCUCGGAAACGGACGCUAAUACCGCAUACGUCCUACGGGAGAAAGCAGGGGACCUUCGGGCCUUGCGCUAUCAGAUGAGCCUAGGUCGAUUAGCUAGUUGGUGAGGUAAUGGCUCACCAAGGCGACGAUCCGUAACUGGUCUGAGAGGAUGAUCAGUCACACUGGAACUGAGACACGGUCCAGACUCCUACGGGAGGCAGCAGUGGGGAAUAUUGGACAAGUGGCGAAAGCCUGAUCCAGCCAUGCCGCGUGUGUGAAGAAGGUCUUCGGAUUGUAAAAGCACUUUAAGUGGAAGGAAGGCAGUAACCAAAUACGUAUCUGUUUGACGUUACGACAGAAUAAGCACGGCUAACUC
rnacentral:rRNA from 1 species